rnacentral:tRNA from 1 species
GGACUGUUAGCUCAGUUGGUAGAGCAACUGACUCUUAAUCAGUGGGUCUGGGGUUCGAGCCCCCAACAGUCCA